rnacentral:rRNA from 1 species
AGAACGAACGCUGGCGGCGCGUCUUAAGCAUGCAAGUCGAACGGCAAGAGGUAGCAAUACCUCCUAGGAGUGGCGGACUGGUGAGUAACACGUGGGUGACAUACCCUUCAGAUGGGGAUAGCUAUUAGAAAUAGUAGAUAAUACCGAAUACGAGCACAGGGGUUAGAGAUCUGUGAGGAAAGGAGCUAAGGCUCCGCUGAAGGAAUGGCCUGCGGCCCAUUAGCUAGUUGGUGAGGUAAGAGCCCACCAAGGCGAUGAUGGGUAUCCGGCCUUAGAGGGUGAACGGACACAUUGGGACUGAGAUACGGCCCAGACUCCUACGGGAGGCAGCAGCUAAGAAUAUUCCGCAAUGGACGAAAGUCUGACGGAGCGACGCCGCGUGGAUGAAGAAGGCCGGAAGGUUGUAAAAUCCUUUUGAAACUGAAGAAUAAGCGUUGUAGGGAAUGACAGCGUGGUGACAGUAGGUUUUGAAUAAGCAACGGCUAAUUACGUGCCAGCCGCCGC